AAGUGACUGUAGGUGAAAGCUUACAUCUCUUCGGAGCAUUUUACGAGGUGCUGCAUGGUUGUCGUCAGCUCGUGCCGUGAGGUGUCGGGUUAAGUCCCAUAACGAGCGCAACCCUACCUUUAGUUGCCAUCAGGUAAUGCUGGGGACUCUAAAGGAACUGCCUACGCAAGUAGUGAGGAAGGCGGGGAUGACGUCAAAUCAGCACGGCCCUUACGUCCAGGGCUACACACGUGCUACAAUGGCCGAUACAGAGGGCAGCUACCUGGUGACAGGAUGCAAAUCUCCAAAGUCGGUCUCAGUUCGGAUCGGAGUCUGCAACCCGACUCCGUGAAGUUGGAUUCGCUAGUAAUCGCGCAUCAGCCAUGGCGCGGUGAAUACGUUCCCGGGCCUU
rnacentral:rRNA from 1 species